rnacentral:rRNA from 1 species
UGGUGGAGCGAUUUGUCUGGUUAAUUCCGAUAACGAACGAGACUCUAGCCUAUUAAAUAGUUCGCCGAUUUUUCGAGUCGGCGUCAACUUCUUAGAGGGACAGGUGUCGUAUAGGCACGCGAGAUUGAGCAAUAACA